GAUGAACGCUGGCGGCGUGCCUAAUACAUGCAAGUCGAGCGAACCUUUGGGAGCUUGCUCCCAAAGGUUAGCGGCGGACGGGUGAGUAACACGUGGGUAACCUGCCUGUAAGACUGGGAUAACUUCGGGAAACCGGAGCUAAUACCGGACAACAUAUGAGACCGCAUGGUCUUAUAUUAGAAGAUGGCUUUUAGCUAUCACUUACAGAUGGACCCGCGGCGCAUUAGCUAGUUGGUGAGGUAAUGGCUCACCAAGGCGACGAUGCGUAGCCGACCUGAGAGGGUGAUCGGCCACACUGGGACUGAGACACGGCCCAGACUCCUACGGGAGGCAGCAGUAGGGAAUCUUCCGCAAUGGACGAAAGUCUGACGGAGCAACGCCGCGUGAGCGAUGAAGGUCUUCGGAUCGUAAAGCUCUGUUGUUAGGGAAGAACAAGUAUCGUUCGAAUAGGGCGGUACCUUGACGGUACCUAACCAGAAAGCCACGGCUAACUACGUGCC
rnacentral:rRNA from 1 species